UAUUGCACAAUGGGGGAAACCCUGAUGCAGCAACGCCGCGUGAAGGAAGACGGUUUUCGGAUUGUAAACUUCUAUCAAUAGGGAAGAAAGAAAUGACGGUACCUGAGUAAGAAGCCCCGGCUAACUACGUGUCAGCAGCCGCGGUAAUACGUAGGGGGCAAGCGUUAUCCGGAAUUACUGGGUGUAAAGGGAGCGUAGUCGGUGGUGUAAGUCUGGAGUGAAAGGCGGGGGCCCAACCCCCGGACUGCUCUGGAAACUAUGUGACUGGAGUGCAGGAGAGGUGAGCGGAAUUCCUAGUGUAGCGGUGAAAUGCGUAGAUAUUAGGAGGAACACCAGUGGCGAAGGCGGCUCACUGGACUGUAACUGACGUUGAGGCUCGAAAGCGUGGGGAGCAAACAGG
rnacentral:rRNA from 1 species